GAGCUUGUGAGAAUUGAGCCUUUGAUUGUCAUACAUUUACAAUCUCAUUUUGUUCUUGAGUGUAAAUCAUUUGAGCAUGUGUGUUGAUCUCUAGAACUUGCCAUGAGUCCUCUCUUGAAAAUAAAAGUAGAUGUGUUGUUAAUAUUGAAGUGAUUUAAGGCCAUCCUUGUUAGCCACUUGACUUAAAUUGUGUCCAAAUUCUCAUGCGAUCCUAGUUUACCAUCUUUGUGCCUUAUAGCCUUUCUUUGAAUUAACCAAUGAUGGGUAGAACUUAGAUUGUUAGUGGUUACUUUGAUGAAAAUGUAUGAGAAAUGAUUGAAAUUACUUGUCUAACUUUGAUUGAGUGAAAAUCACUAGUCCCCUAUGAGCUCCAAAAGAAAAGAAAAGAAAAAGAAAAGCAAAAAGAAAUGUUGAAUAAAAGAAGUAUAAAGGGGAUUGAUUUGCCUUUUGAAUCAUGGUCUUGAUAAGUAUUCAUAGGGUGAAAAAGAAGAAAUGUGGGGAUAUUGGUUGAUUGAUUAGAAAAGAACAAUGGUGAAUAUGACUUAUUCAAUUUGGAAAUUGUAUGGGAUAUGAGUCACUUUGCCUAUAAACACCUCACCUCACCAAAGAGCUCUCAUUGCAACCUAAAGAAAAGCCCUUGUUGAUCUUUAUUUAUAACACAUUGAAGUAUAGAGAGUUAGGAUAAAUGGCAAGCUUAUGGUAGAUUGCAUACUUGUUUCAAUUUGAGUGCAAACACGUCCAUUCUAAACACUUGAGAGUUGAGUGCGUCAUUGAAACAUCCACCUUGUGAGGAUUCAAGCUU
rnacentral:lncRNA from 1 species